UUGUCCAUGUUACUGAUCUUUCUGGC
rnacentral:piRNA from 1 species